UACAGGGGGUGCAAACGUUGCUCGGAAUUAUUGGGCGUAAAGCGCGCGUAGGCGGCUACUUAAGUCGGAUGUGAAAGCCCUUGGCUCAACUGAGGAAGUGCACCCGAAACUGAGUGGCUUGAGUACUAAAGAGGGUCGCGGAAUUCCCGGUGUAGAGGUGAAAUUCGUAGAUAUCGGGAGGAACACCGGUGGCGAAGGCGGC
rnacentral:rRNA from 1 species